GCGCCCGUAGUUCAACGGAUAGAACGGGAGCCUUCUAAGCUCUAGAUGAGGGUUCGACUCCCCCCGGGCGUA
rnacentral:tRNA from 2 species